rnacentral:lncRNA from 1 species
CCCAGUUUAUUAGAGCAUUUCCAUUUCAUAGAGAGUCUUACAAAACAAUGUAUUUACAGAAAAAGAAAGAUUUUACUAAAUUCACUGGGAGUGUGUUCUCCUAAGGUCAGGACUGGGCUACACAGGAGAAAAAGAAAUCACAUUCAGCAGUCACAUUGUUGCAUUUUUCCUUGAAACAGUAAAAAGAGUGGGGCUAUCUGUCAGGUGGGGGGCAGGCCCAGCUAACCCGUUUUGUUUCUGUAAGGCCAAGCCAUAGGAACACCCCGCUCUGUCCCUGGAAUCUGCCUGCAAGGAUUAAGUCGUUGCUGUGUUUGGGUCCUGCACAAUGCAGCCACCUGCGUGCAGUGGGAAUGGUGGUGCUGGGUACCAUGGAACAACCUGAAGCAUAAGGAGAAGGACUGCAGCCCUGGGCUUCCUACGCAGCAGCGCACGGACAGGAGAGCAGAAGCCAAGUCAGACACAGGAGAGCUGGCCCAGGGCAACAGCUGCCCUCCCCCCCUCAUUACUGAAGACCAGACAAAAUGAAUGAUGCAGAUUGCAGUUGAAAAACAAAUGAAUGAGAUGAGAAUGAGCUUACAGCAUGUAUUCCGGACCUCUCCCUUCUAAAAACACAUAGUGUUUUUUUUUUUUUAAUUUUUUUUUUUUUUUUUUUAAUAUUCUCUGUUGAAUGACUGUUCAUUCAAGUUUGUUGCAGGAGCUCCAUUUGCUUACCCAGAAGAGAGGAAAUCAAUGUGUGGAUGUAAGGAAUUCGUAAGUUGAUGUGGGUUUGGGAGGAUGAAGUACUAAGGGCUGUGCUCACCCAGCAGCCCAGGGUUGGGAGUCCCAGAGGCAGUGAGGUAGAGGCUCACAAUGGUGGCAGCUCCUGGGGCAGUGCCUCACAGUCCGCGUUGUCCCCACCUGGUGCUGUGCAGGAGUUGGUUGUGUCUGAGGGUUGAGCACAUCCCUAGAGUCCUGUCUGCUGCUUGAUCCACGUCCGCAGUGCUGUCAGCCGGCUGUAGACUCCAGGUUUGUUUCUCUGUGCACAGCCAUCUCCCCAGCUCACAACGCCAGCCAGGAACAUCCGCCCGCUGUUCUCCACGCUGACCAGGGGCCCUCCGGAGUCUCCCUGCA